rnacentral:rRNA from 1 species
AUCGAACGCUGCGGCAUGCCUAAUACAUGCAAGUCGAGCGGACCCUUCGGGUCAGCGGCGGACGGGUGAGUAACACGUGGGUAAUCUGCCCAACUGACUGGAAUAACGCCUGGAAACGGGUGCUAAUGCCGGAUAGGCAACUGGUAGGCAUCUACCGGUUGGGAAAGGUGCAACUGCACCGCAGAUGGAGGAGCCCGCGGCGCAUUAGCUAGUUGGUGGGGUAACGGCCCACCAAGGCGACGAUGCGUAGCCGACCUGAGAGGGUGACCGGCCACACUGGGACUGAGACACGGCCCAGACUCCUACGGGAGGCAGCAGUAGGGAAUCUUCGGCAAUGGGCGAAAGCCUGACCGAGCAACGCCGCGUGAGCGAAGAAGGCCUUCGGGUUGUAAAGCUCAGUCACCCGGGAAGAGCGGGCAGGAGAGGGAAUGCUCCUGUCGAGACGGUACCGGGAGAGGAAGCCCCGGCUAACUACGUG